GAUGAACACUGGCGGCGUGCCUAAUACAUGCAAGUCGAGCGAAGCGGGGACGGGUGAGUAACACGUGGAUAACCUCCUAUAAGACUGGGAUAACUUCGGGAAACCGGAGCUAAACCGGAUCCUUAUAGAUGGAUCCGCGCUGCAUUAGCUAGUUGGUAAGGUAACGGCUUACCAAGGCAACGAUGCAUAGCCGACCUGAGAGGGUGAUUGGCCAAACUGGAUAUGAUACACGGACCAGACUCCGACGGGAGGCAGCAGUAGGGAAUCGCCCGCAAUGGGCGAAAGCCUGACGGAGCAAAGCCGCGUGAGUGAUGAAGGUCUUCGGAGCGUACAACUCGGUUAUUAGGGAAGCGGUACCUAAUCAGAAAGCGACGGCUAACUACGUGCGAGCAGCCGCGGUAAUUC
rnacentral:rRNA from 1 species